rnacentral:rRNA from 1 species
CCUACGGGUGGCAGCAGUGGGGAAUAUUGGACAAUGGGCGAAAGCCUGAUCCAGCCAUGCCGCGUGUGUGAAGAAGGCCUUCGGGUUGUAAAGCACUUUCAGUGGGGAAGAAAGCCUUGGGGCUAAUACCCUCGAGGAAGGACAUCACCCACAGAAGAAGCACCGGCUAACUCCGUGCCAGCAGCCGCGGUAAUACGGAGGGUGCGAGCGUUAAUCGGAAUUACUGGGCGUAAAGCGCGCGUAGGCGGUCUGAUAAGCCGGUUGUGAAAGCCCCGGGCUCAACCUGGGAACGGCAUCCGGAACUGUCAGGCUAGAGUACAGGAGAGGAAGGUAGAAUUCCCGGGGGAGCGGUGAAAUGCGUAGAGAUCGGAAGGAAUACCAGUGGCGAAGGCGGCCUUCUGGACUGACACUGACGCUGAGGUGCGAAAGCGUGGGUAGCAAACAGGAUGAGAUACCCCAGUAGUC